AUUGAACGCUGGUGGCAGGCCUAACACAUGCAAGUCGAACGAGUGGCGGACGGGUGAGUAAUGUCUGGGAAACUGCCCGAUGGAGGGGGAUAACUACUGGAAACGGUAGCUAAUACCGCAUACCAUCGGAUGUGCCCAGAUGGGAUUAGCUGGUGGGGGGGGUAACGGCUCACCUAGGCGACGAUCCCUAGCUGUUCUGAGAGGAUGACCAGCCACACGGGAACUGGGACACGGGCCAGACUCCUACGUGAGGCAGCAGGGGGGAAUAUUGCGCAAGGGGCGCAAGCUUGAUGCGGCCAUGCCGCGUGUAUGAAGAAGGCCUUCGGGUUGUAAAGGACUUUCAGCGAGGAGGCGUUACUCGCAGAAUAAGCACCGGCUAACUCCGUGCCAGCAGCCGCGGUAAUAC
rnacentral:rRNA from 1 species